GAUGAACGCUAGCGGCAGGCCUAAUACAUGCAAGACGAACGGUAAGAAUGGUAGCAAUAUUAUUCCAAGAGUGUCGUAAGGGUGCGUAACACGUAUGCAAUCUACCCGCAACAGGGGGAUAGCUCGGGGAAACUCGAAUUAACACCCCAUAAUAUCACAUAACGGCAUCGUUGAGUGAUUAAAACUGAGGUGGUUGCGGAUGAGCAUGCGUUUGAUUAGUUAGUUGGUGAGGUAACGGCUCACCAAGACGAUGAUCAAUAGGGGAACUGAGAGGUUGAUCCCCCACACUGGCACUGAGAUACGGGCCAGACUCCUACGGGAGGCAGCAGUAGGGAAUAUUGGACAAUGGGUGAGAGCCUGAUCCAGCCAUGCCGCGUGCAGGAAGAAGGCCUUCUGGGUUGUAAACUGCUUUUAUGUGGGGAUAAAGUGAGCUACGUGUAGUUUAUUGCAGGUACCACAUGAAUAAGGACCGGCUAAUUCCGUG
rnacentral:rRNA from 1 species